rnacentral:lncRNA from 1 species
AGGAGCAUUAAAAACUCUGCAAAUUUGGAGUGGCUCAAUCUGAAAGAAUUCACUAAGGUCUACUAUUCCAUUGAAAAGAUCUCUGAAAAUUCUAUCAAUCCUGACUACAAUAUGAAUAUGAACAACUGAGGGCUUAAAAAUGAGUUGAACUUUGUUUGUUGUUCGAGGGCUGGGUUUCAGCAUCAAUCCUGACUACAAUAUGAAUAUGGAACAACUAAGGGCUUAAAAAUGAGUUGAAUUUUGUUUGUUGUUCGAGGGCUGGGUUUCAGGUUCAGAUUAAACUUGAUCUAGGGCUUAGAUGUUGUGGCUGUGAAUCCAAACUUGGUUUAGAAAGGUUUCUCACUGAUUAUUCCUGGGCUUAUUUUGCUGUUGGAACACUGUCUUGCUAUUGCUUUUGCUGCUAAUCCUUCUCCUGUAUUGCGUUUCAAACUCCAGGUACUCCCUAAUUCUCUAGGAGAUGAAGUGCAAGAAUGGAAGUUGUAUCUACUUGAAUCUCAUGAAUGCAAACUGUCUUCCUUAAAUUUCCAGUGUCAAUUACUUACUUAGAAUUUCUGAAA